rnacentral:rRNA from 1 species
CCUACGGGUGGCAGCAGUGAGGAAUAUUGGUCAAUGGGCGAGAGCCUGAACCAGCCAAGUCGCGUGAGGGAAGACGGUCCUAUGGAUUGUAAACCUCUUUUGCCGGGGCGCAAAGAGCGGUACGCGUACCGCAACGAGAGUACCCGGAGAAAAAGCAUCGGCUAACUCCGUGCCAGCAGCCGCGGUAAUACGGAGGAUGCGAGCGUUAUCCGGAUGUAUUGGGUUUAAAGGGUGCGCAGGCGGCGAGUUAAGUCAGCGGUAAAAGUACGGGGCUAAACCCCGACGAGCCGUUGAAACUGGCUUGCUAGAGUGGGCGAGAAGUAUGCGGAAUGCGUGGUGUAGCGGUGAAAUGCAUAGAUAUCACGCAGAACUCCGAUUGCGAAGGCAGCAUACCGGCGCCCAACUGACGCUCAGGCACGAAAGCGUGGGUAUCGAACAGGAUUAGAUACCCGAGUAGUC